rnacentral:lncRNA from 1 species
UAGCACCUCAUAAAGUUGCUCUGGAAUCCAGAUCUGGCCUCUGAAAAAUUCCAGUGAAAAUGGUUUCUCCAAGUGAGCUGGGGCUACUCAACAGACUGCUGGCUCUUCCUCAAGCUGGUUUUAUCUCUAAGGGAGCCAGGUCCUGCACAGAGGUGUCUCCUCCUCUCAAAGAUGAUCUGGAAUUAGCAGUGAUGACUGCAUUUUCUCCACCUCUCUGCUAGACAGGAAGCCUUUUCAUGAGAUACAAGGAAUCCCUUCAUUUCUUUGAAAUCAGUCCUUUGCUUCCGAGAAGUACCUAUGGAGCAGAAGAAUCACAAAUACUGCUUUUUCCUUGAUGCUCUUCUCUCCCUAGGAGGCUCACCAGUUGAUUUUUAUUUUUCUGAUUUAUGUGAAUGCAGAAGUAUCUUUGCAUCUAAGCCUAUGUUGAUGGGAUCAAUGGAUGCUCAAGUUCUAUCGUCAGGCUGACCACUUUUCCUCAGGUUCCAAAUGCUACUCCUGACAGAGACAUAGAAGAGACACCUGGCCCAUCUCCUUUGCUUUACAG